UACGUAGGGGGCGAGCGUUGUCCGGAUUCAUUGGGCGUAAAGAGCUCGUAGGCGGUUUGGUAAGUCGGGUGUGAAACCUCCAGGCUCAACCUGGAGAUGCCACUUGAUACUGCCAUGACUAGAGUCCGGUAGGGGACCAUGGAAUUCCUGGUGUAGCGGUGAAAUGCGCAGAUAUCAGGAGGAGCACCAAUGGCGAAGGCAGCUCGCUGGGACGUGACUGACGCUGAGACGCGAAAGCGUGGGGAGCAAACAGG
rnacentral:rRNA from 1 species